ACAAGAUGUCUGCCGAUAUAAAUACCCUGACAGAGAUAAGGAGGUUUAUGCGAAUAGACGCAUAUUUACAUAUUCCAAGAGACAUCAUAAUACCCCUAAGAAAGUCUCAAGACAUGGCCAUAUUAGUAGAUCCAAUUCUAAUGUAUAUUCUAUGAAAACCAAUCAAUCGGAAUCUAAACAGGUACUAUCUACACCCUCAUAUAGGCGGUAUGAUCACCGACAGUCCAGAAUCCGU